rnacentral:lncRNA from 1 species
CUCGCGCCCAGCAGGAUUGAGAUCAGCACGGGCGCUGAGGCGAAAAACACCGGGUGAUUGGCGACGAAGUGGCCCAGUUUGUGGAAUGACGUCCUGAGCCCUUCGUGCAACACUUGUCGCAACAUCCUAGAAUGCAGCAACAGCGCAAGGGCGAUGAACCAACAUCAGCAUCAGAGAUUCGGAGCAUCAGUGUUCAACCCACGCAGCUGGAUCACUGAAAUGAUGAAGCGUAGCGCUGAAUCUCAUCAGGUCCUGCUAGGUCAGAGACACUUGGUUUGUUUGGAGGAGAGCACACCCGUAGGGACUGUCUGAGCGAGUCGAUGAACACGAGCAUGAAAGAGAGGAAAGCGAGAGGAUGGAUGGAUGAAAAGAUGGAUGAUAUUCUGGAAGAGCUCUAGGGCUUUUCUGAGAGGAGACACCGCUGUUACAUGAUCUCCAGCAAGCCAGAAGCACGCACAACGAG